rnacentral:lncRNA from 1 species
UUCAGGCCAUCAAACUCCAAAUGGUCAUGCAACCGGAGCCUUGGAUGAUGGUCCCCUCUGCCAGGGACCCUUAAAUAGACCUCUGAGGGAGAUCUGACUGCCGUUUUCUCAAAACAGCGCCCCCUGGCAGCAGGAAGCGGAUCUUUAACUUAAUGACAUCUUCAAGUCUCUUAUGCCACGGAAGGUGAUGGAAUGAUGCCAAUUUCUAAUUCAUCAUGCUGCUUGUCAUUCUACGCCUAAAUAUACAAGGAGGAAAGUCAUUUCAUUAAAACUGGCGGAAAAAUACUUAACAAACAAAGUGAGCCAUGUAUUAAAGUUACCAAGAUGUGGGGGAAACUACAAUAAAUUGAGAUGUUUUCAAGCUUUAAUUUAUUUACAUUAUGUAACUAUAUACCAUUUACCUAAGGAAUUACCAAGCAUAUAUAAUUUGACAUUUAAGUAGAAAAUAUGACUAAUAUAUGCCAAACAUUAAAAGUUAUACGUGUCUGAUCAAUAAUGUGAUGGAGGUCAGAAUUUACAUUAAAGAGAAAGGUGAUUGGCUAUCCUUAUAAAAAGAGAAUAUUGUUUUGUUGGUUUUGUUUUAUUUUUCCAAAAUGGUGGUUUGGAGGCAGGGUUAACACAUUUCUCCCACUUGGAAGGACAAACUAGUGUGUAGAGACUUAUGUGUAUUAUUUUUCAAAAAGCAGGGAAGGAAGUUAACAGGAAAACUGAAAGAAACAACAGACCCUUUGUAAGAAGUGGCAGGCAGCAGUCUUCAUUAUGAGCCUGGUGGAAAACUGUAAGUCCCCAGACUGUGAGAGGGGGAAAGACUGCCUCCAGGAUAUAUACUUCAACCAUGGAACCUGGCAGUCUAGGCUUGGAGGAAGGGCUUAAUCAUAUGCAGUGCUGAAAGUGACUUAGGAAGAGCUGGGAAAUAUGAAAAUAGGAGCAGCAGCAGGAAGAGUUUUGUGGGCAUUCCCAGUCUCCAGUGUGCACUGAAGGAAGCCAUUUCUGAUCCUAACUCCUAGGGGACCUCGUAGAAAUCUGAGCACUAACUCAGACAGUGGUUGCAGGCUGAGAGAAUCUCCCAGUUGAAUUUUAUAAUACCAUCUUAAGUGAAGACAAACUUCUUUGGCCAGAACUGAAGGGCAAGUGGAAAGGGUGCUGUAGGCAUGAGCACAGGAGCUAGGCACCCUGAUUUGGUGGGUAGACCGGGAGGAGUGUGGCCUAAAAGUCACUUUUGCUAUCUCUUCAGGGAAAGCUUAUGGCCUAGGGCAGUUGUGAGUUCUGAGUAUAGAUGGCCGGGAACGUAGCUAGCUGCUGCUAGGGAAACACUGCAGAUGUGGGACCUUCUUUGCCAACUGCUUUAGAGCUGCACCAAUGCCACCUGCUACUUCACACUCCUUGUGCAAAGUGUUCUGUGCAGCAGAAGCAACUAUGCUUCACCCUGUAACUUUACCCAGUGGCCACAGAACGGCCUCUCAGCUCCCACACGGGGAUGCUGCUUGACAUGUACUUGGAGAGCCAGAGGACGGACCUGC